AAGAGGAUACAAGGGAGAUCAAAAUGAAAUUCUCCUUGGAGUUGCCCAGGAUGGAUAACUGCAAGGAAAGAUUACUCCAUGGCUCUGUAAAAGGAAGUUCUACUUGCUUAGUAACCUGGUUAUGAGGUACUGGCUCUGCUUCGUGCAGAGGCUGGAAGCCAGGGGAGAUUUCAGGUUACAAAGAGGGCUGGGCAGAGUUUGCUGCCCUCUCUGUUCCUUUUCUGUAUCACUGUCAACUUAGAUUUCACUUCUAGAGGGUGAUGUUAUGGCUGCUGGUGACAAAAACAGAAUGCCACUGGCAGAGGUGAAAUCUUUCCCUCCAUGAGGGUAUGCCUUCCUUUCCAUUCCCCUUGGCUUACCUCAGGAACUGCUGGCUCCCAGUGCCAAGCAGGGCAUGCAUACCUGCUGCCCAAGGGACGAUGUUUGCUGUGCUGAGCAUCUCUUUUCAUUGCUUUUUGGUAAGCAGCCCAGUGUCACUGAUGCCUCCUGAUGCCUCUUUGCUGCAUGGUGACCUGGGACAGAGGGUGAAUCCUUGUCACUGUCUGAGACAAAUCAGGGCCAUUGGGAGCUGCCAUGUUUGCUUUCACAGGGAGCGUUGCGCGAAGCGGUCCUUUGCCAUGCGGGCACCCCGAAGGUGUCCCUUCAGAGCCCCAAGGCCCAUCUGUGUUCUUUAGGGGACAAGCCUGAACUAAGUCAGGGUCUGAGGAGCAGACAAACAUGUUAAUGGUUAAUGUUCUCUGCCGGCUGUCUUUCACCUCCUCUGAAUGGGAGCUAAUCUCUUAGAAGAGUGCCUGUGCCCACACUGCUCCAGCAGCCCCUCUGCCAGCCUUCUGUCCUCCAGGGCCAGUUCAGCAAAGCCUUAGUGCUGUUCUGGGUCCAGCUUUCGCUUUCUAGCUGCUUACAGAAGAGAGAAUGAAGGAGGUGUGAGAAUCGCCUUUGGGAGCAGUGCUUCCUUCUGCUCCUGUUCUGCCUUGCCAAGGAUCAGUUCUCUGGCAUCCAUCAUCAGACAAGUCCUCUCCCCACUCUCACGCCUCAGCUGCUGAUGGGAAUGCUGGAGAAGAGGUGACCAGAGCUACGGGUUCUGCAAGAAGGAACGCACCAGCUAGGAGACUCUCAGAUGCCAUAACUCUUCAGGGUCAUGCAGGUACCCAAAGGGAGAUGACAGCCUGCCUUGACACCCACAGACCUGCUCACCUCCUCUUGCCUCUCAGUUUCCUGCAGUCUGGCACACGAGCUGUGCCCCUGGCCUUGGUGUACUGAGAAGCUUUCAGGCAGGUGGGCUCAAAGAUGCAGGCAGAAAAAGAAAUUAGUCUCUCCAUGGUCUUGCCCCACCUAUCUGGUCAAAAGGAAGAGAAGUUUCUGGGAGGGCAGACCCCCACUUUGGCAGGAGGAGAGAGCAGGUAGCUUGAGCUAAGCUGGGUUUUUGAGAAGCAGAUGGAUGUUCAGCGGGGGCCCAAGAAAACCCUAUCGCUCAGGCUAGCUGCGAGCCCUCCAAACUAAAAUGUUGUGCUGGUGCAAAAAAAAAGCAUUGCUCCAUUGAUGCUGAGCCUGAAUUACCUCUUCCAGGUGCCUGAUUCAGGACGAGCCACUAGCUCCCGAGAGGAGUCAGCUGUGUGCUUGCAACCAGGCAAGGAUGCACCAGGAGCUGUUGAACAGUGAGGAGGGUGAGUGAUGGCAGAUUCCUCUGGCAUCUCCACACCACAGGGCUCUUGGCGAGUGAGCACUCGUCUACUUUGAAAGCUCUUAGUGCUCCUGCAGGUGGGAGCCAAUUUGUCUGCUUUCCUGCCCAGGUGCCAUCUGUUUGUAGGAUUGCCUCUGUGGUGGAUGAGCACGGGGAUGGCAAAGGGAAGGGCUGCUGGGGUGUGAGAGACGAGUGGAAAGCUUUCCUUGGGUGACUUUGGUGCUUCUGGCUGCCGUUGCUCUCUCUCCCCUGCAUCACGGCAGGGAAGUCACAGCCUGUCAUUUGCUGUUCCUGGAGCGUGAUAGGGAGCGGAGGCACCACUAAUAGCAAGCUAUCAUUUUAAUGCUAAUUUCCUAGCGUUAACUCAGGCUGGAGGAGGCUCAGCCUGGGUGGAGGAAAGCCAUUAGCAGAUGGAGAAGGGGGGGAUGUGUGAGGACUGUUCUGCACCCCGAGAAGGAAAUUCCAGAGAGCAGAUGAUUAACCACUACUGGGAAAACUGGUAGCAGGCACUGGGGUCAGUCUCUGGUGGAUGUGGGAGGGAAGGAGAGGGAUACUUUGUUCCAAGUCAUCUUCCUGUAGGGAUUUCUCAAGUCCUUCAGACUUUGGCUUGAAUUUCAUGUUUCCUGCUUGUUGCCAGCCCUCAGUGCGUUGUGACACAGGUUGCUCAGAGCACUGGCAGGGCAGAGGCUGGUGACAUGGUUGUCCUUUUAACAAAGGAGCCGAGCAGUGUUGAGUUUAGCUACUGUCUUUUUGUGAGGAGCUCCCCAGUUCAGGAGCCUGGACAUCCAUGUUUGGUGGUGAGCUUCAAAGCAGGGAAAUUUUGAAGCUCUUCUUGUGAUACCCAAAAGCAAAGAAAAGAAACUUGCCCUUUUGCCGUGGGAACAAGCUUAGUUCCCCAAGCUGGAGAGCUGACAGGAGAAACCAGUGGCUGAGUUUGGAGUCUUGAAGGAAACGGAACCAUUUCCCUGCCUUUUCCAGAGGUGGGAGUUCCCACAUCCAGCCUCUUGAUCAUUCUCCUCUAGCCAUGCUUACCACAUGGAAGAGCCUGUGCUGCUCCCCAGUGUGGUGUAGUUGCCUGGGAGCUACUGGGGAGUUUAAAGAGUGAUGACUGGUUGUAGUAGGAGUGUAGGCCCUGUUUGGGAUUAUGUUGGCUGUACUCAGAGAGGUUCUUCUACAACUUCUAGACCUGCAUGGAAACCUUGGGACCAAAGGGACAUGACUGACUGGGAAGAAACUGGUUGCCUACCACUGAGGGACAGCAUUGGUUUAAGGCAAGGGCUCAGUAUUCUCUUGGUCUGUGGUGUUACACAUCUCCUGAAGACUCAGCAGCCUGUGCUAAUCUAGACUAUUGGCUUCCUUAUUUCAUAUAGAUUCUCUUAAAACCAUCUAAAGACCAUUUUUAAACUGUUUUGGCAUCUAGCAGAGAGGCAAUGGAGGGACAAGGGCAGCCAUGAUAAAGGGAAGGAAAACCAGCAACUGGUUAAAUAGCAAAGGGAUGGGAAGCUGGAAGGGGAUGAUCCUGUCAGGAAGACACUAGCACAAGACAACGUUAGAUAAGCAGCAUUGCUCACUGUGGUUAUCAACUGUAGGAUCCACCCUGGCAUGGAGCAUGACUCACUAUUUUUUAGGGAGCUAUUUCCAUCUGAAAAAAUAUCUCCUAUAUUUUCUAAGAGCUUCUUCCCUGCCUUGGGUGAGAAUAGAAAGAAAAAAGUGAAGGGCUAAUUUUUUCCUAGCUGAAGAGAAUCAAACAAACUUUCUCUGACGUAGCUGAGUGAGGAAAUCAGCACUUUGUAUAUUCCCAAGAAUAAUACAAUCAAGUAGUUGGGGGGAAAAAACCCAUAAAAUAAAAUAGUGUUGCUUUUCCCAGUUCAACACUCUGAAUAAUGAGCCUGCAAGCCGGAGGGACAGCUCCUAGGAGAGGUGCCUAUGUACAGGAGAUGGACACAACAAGUGUCUCGGAUGGGCCGAUAUCUGAAGCGAUCUCUCUCUAAUUUUCUACAUCAGUAAGAACACAGUGCGGUGCCAUCAGUCAUAGUCAACCUCUCUGCAGAAAGCCACCUCCUGCCUUGCUGUGCUGUGGCAUCCCCCCUCCGCUUCUGCCCCCAACUGGGGACCACAGGUGGCCCAAGCAGCAGCGCCCGCAGGCACAUUUUCUCCCAGGGGGUUUCUUCUUCAUUGCGUUUGAGCCUGCUUUCAUUUCUGCUUUUCUCCCUCCUCCACCCCCAGCACCUGUUCCUCGCUAGUGCUUAAUUUCCAGACUGCAUUUCCCCUUUCUGGAGUCAGCAAAGUCCAAAUAAUCUUUUUGUCCCCAGUGAGGAGAAAGUGAGGGCUGCCUGUGCUGGGAUAAAACCCCUGCAUGCUGCCUGGAGGAGGGAUGGGUCUAGUUUCAGUGCCUCUAGUGCUCAUCUGGGGAUGGAGAAGUUGAAAUUUACAGCAACCCUAUGGUUGCUCCUGCAGUAGCAGCCAUCGGGGCAUGUCCUGGGGAUGGCUGAUGCCUGGGCUGGCGCCUUUGCCCCAGCCCCAGCUCUGGGCGUGAAGCAGCUAAGGGACGCAUCUUUCAUGCUGGACUGGUAGUGCAAUGCAGCAGCUCUUGGUUUCUUGGUUUCUCCUUUUGUGAAGUCCCCUGCUCCUUCCAGGCCUGGCCGUGUUUCCACCAGACCCAGGGACACCUCUUUGGCAGGAGCACUGGUGGUGGCUGUCCUUCUGAGCAGGCCCGGGCCAGACACACUCCUAAGCUGGCCAGAGGGCUGGUAGGACAUGGAUCUAUGCUUAUGGCUGUUUCGUCUACUGAAGCAUGGACACAGCUGAUGGGUUUUCUGGUUCUUGCUUCUUCCUCUGUCAUGAACUAGACUGGGCAUUGCUUAGUUGUGGUGGCUCUUGGACCUACCAAAACUUGGCUAACUGAUGGCAGCUGUUUUGACACAAAAGUGGUUCACAGUCCCACUUCUGGCUCCAUUGGCUGAAGCACCAGCUAGAACCAAGGACUGUGCUUUCUUGAGCACAACCCUAGACAAUGGCAUCUUCUGAAUAAACCCAUGUAAUUGCCACCUGCCUCUCAGCCUCUUAUGCUGACUUCUGAGAGCUGCCAAGGAUCCUUGACCUCUCUUUCAGGCAUGAUUUCCUGCAUGUAUCAACCCUGCCCCAGUGUUGUGGAGCUGUUGCUGGCUUCUGUAAUAGCGGCUUUGUUUACUUCCCAGAUGCCUGCCCUUUCUGUAAUGAGCUAUAACUCAUCAUGGUUUAUACAGUGCUCAGAGAUACCUGGAGCAAGGAAGAUAUGCAAUUAAACCAGCUUCUAGGCUUCUCUCUGGACUGAGGUUUCUGAUCUCCUGGAGAUGUAAAACAGGGAAGACAAGGGGGACUAGAUUGAAGAGGGGAAUAAUUACCUAGCAGGGUAAAAGGGGCUGACUAGGUUGGAAACUGCUGGGAGCUGACACAUAGGUGCAGAUGAAUGGCUAUGGCAGGCAGGCAGGGUGGAGGUAGGAAAGAUGUUUUUUUAAAGUCUCUGCUUUCCUCGCUUCCUCUGCUUUAUAACCUGUUUUUAUAGAGACUGCAUGAGGAACACAUUUUUUUAUUAGCAGCUUGGGA